UUGAUUUUUUUUUUUGGUAGGUCAUGUUGCCUCAGUGCAUUCACAUGAUAUUUCCUUUCUGAUUACAGGGCGCAUUUACUCUUAGGAAAGAAAUAGAACUUGAGCGACCGGGUAUAGCUAGCACAGCGAUUAGGCCAGACAACAAGAUCGCUGCAACUGCUGGUUGGGAUCACAGGUUUUUCCCCAUUCUUGGCUUUUACAGUUUACUGUCGACUAGGGAUGACAAUGUCCUGUAUCAACUUGUCAUUUGUCAGUAAUUAAAAUUAAUCUUAGCAUGGGGUUCCAGUGAUCCUGGAUGCUGCUGAAAGAAUGUGGAGGAUUCCCAACUCAUCAUCUCUUCCAGCCGUUGGCUUUUAAGUUUGCAAUUGUUGCAUUUGUGUGAGCCUUCUGUGUUUUUUCUCUUGCAGGAUUCGAGUGUAUAACUACAGCAAAGGAAAUGCUCUAGCUGUGUUAAAGUAUCACAGUGAUUCGGUAUGCAACUCGUUCAUCUGAUCGUGCUACUAACUUUCCCUUCAUAUUUGGUAUGACAACUUAGCCAAUUGAUACGGAUCCUCCAUGAGCUAUUCCCUAUACUAAAAAAAUGUAGUAAUGUCCUACCUCCGUCCUCAAAUAUAUGACGUUUAUCAUUCUCUCAUCUAUCAGAACCAAAAUAUAUAUGCAUUUGUUCCUGCUUGGUGCUAGAUUGAUAUCGUGUCCAGUUCCUUCACAUUCAGUUGGCCACUUUCUGCAGAUGAUGCUCUAAUUAAUGCUCAUCUUUUUGCUUGCAGUGCAACGCGGUGACUUUUUCGUCUGACUGCAAGCUGAUGGCUUCCUGCUCGACGGAUACCACGGUUGCAUUGUGGGAGCUCUAUCCCCCGAAAUCCUAAAGCAAGUUAGACAUCAUAAAAACGGAUGAGGCCUCAUGUUAAUUUACUUAGGCCUUCACUGCUGAAAAGUAGAAUAGUGGAUGCUACAUUUUUGCUUGUAUGUUAGUGAAGGAGCAUUUGGGCGGUUUGUCUCGCUGUGAGUGUUGUUUCUGCAUACUGAAAUUUUCGUGCCUCGGUGUAGUGGAAAUCUAAAAUUAUAUCGCAAUCGACUAAGUGAGGCUGCUGAGAAUUUCUGCAUGGGCCAUGCCUGACGAUGUACUUGGGUUAGGCCUUGGGCCGUGUUGUGUCGUGUAAGUUGGGCCCAGCGCAUGAUGAACUUUAAAGCGGCACUGAAGAAGAAGAACAGAGAGAAGGACUUAGUACUUGGGUUAGGACUUGGGCCGUGUAGUGUUGUUUGAGUUGGGCCCAAUCCGUGGACUUCAAAGAAAGGGCCCGCAAUCCUUCCUUCUACCGUAAAGCUUUGUAAUGUUUGUUUGCACACAAACGGUUCUAAGGCCCGUUUGUUUCUGCUUAUAAGCGGAUUAUUGGUGGAAAUAAGCGAGAAUCCCGCUAAAUAUUUUGCUUAUUUUCACUAAUUCUCGCUUACGUAGUAAGUCGCUUCAGAGAUUUGAACUACAAGAAGCGAAAAGCGAGAAAAUCUUCAAUUAGAUUAUAAUCCAAACGUUGCUGGGAGAAGCGUACCCAAACAGGCCUAAAUGUGAUCGAUCGCGCCACGAGAAGUCUCACGAGCAUAAAAACAUAAAGGCGAUUACAGAACAGCAAUUGCUGCCUUUACAAUUAUAUUAUCAUAACCUUCGACAUUCUAAAAGUCCAUGAUUUUCAAAAAAAAAUCCAUUAUAAGCGAGACACGAACAGCGAAAGAAAAUGAGACGAGACGGAGAAGUAUGCUAUCUCCUUUCCUUUCGGUCACUCCAUGACGAUGGUCUCCAAGACCGUCAUGCCAUGGACCGCCCCACCCCUCUGCUGCUGAGCUUGUUCCCGCCGCUGCGACGUGAGCGGGAACUCCUUGGCGACUGCCGCCAGCAUCGCACGUCUCGUCGCCGCGGCGUCGCCGGAGGAGGAGGCGGAGGUGGCGCUGCCCCUCGAGGUUGGCGACGACGACGCGGCCGUGGUGCCGUCCAGGGUGCCGUCGAACGGCGUCUCGCAGAAGGCCAUCAUGGGCACGAGCCUCUUCUCCACCGUCGCAGCCAUUGGGGAGAGGAUUCGGUUUUGAUGCGCUUGUUUAAGCUCGAGGGAUCGUCUCAACCGCGGGCGGGGUCCUCCGCCGCCCCUCGAGGCCGGCGACGACGACGCGGCCGUGGUGCCGUCCAGGGUGCCGUCGAACGGCAACUCGCAGAAGGCCAUCAUGGGCACGAGCCUCUUCUCCACCGACGCCGCCAUUGGAGAGAGGAUUCGUUUUCGAUGCGCUUUGGUUUAGCUCGAGGGAUCGUCUCAACCGCGGGCGGGGUUUAUAUGAUCGACGAGGCGCCCGUGGGUUGCCGACUCGUUCCCGGCUCGGAAGCCGAGAUCGUGCUGGGAUGGUAGGCAUAGGGGGUCUGGGAAUUGGAGCCGGACUCCUCGUGCAACCCGUGUGUGGAUCGGCCGGAAGACCCUCGUGCGGAUCGAUCGCUGGCUGAGUCAUGUGUCCGGCGACGGGGGGCGGUUUUUGGAUAUUCCAUAAGAAAUUAGCUCAUCCUGUGAUUCUUUUGCACAAGCCUACCAGGAAUUUUUUUAGUUAUAUGACUAGAUAGAUACAUGUAAUGUAUUAGGAUAGUAGCUAUGAAGGAUUGAAGGGCAAAUUUACUUGAAUCAGUGUAACAUUUCAUGUCUGAACUGCACCUGCAGAUCACGGCUUUGUCGAAUUGGAACUGUGCUGAAAGCACGAUUCAUCUUUUCAGUAAAUUUUAGGAUUGAUUUGAACUGGAUCAAAAUUCCCUAUGUAAAACUCCCCUUAUAACUGUACUAACUAUCAACUUAAAAUUAUGCAUUUCAGACAGCUUCAGCGCAUUAUAUAUUACAGAUCCAAGAGAUGCCAAGUGCAGAAUAAUUUUGGGCAUUGAUCAAUUUUUAUGUUUCUGAUGUUGAUACACUGAUGCAGCCAGGGCAGGGAUGGGACGUGUAAAUGCUGGGUGAUUGAAGAAGCUGGCCUCUCACGGUAUGACUUCUUGUUCGUGUACUCUACUAGCAGCUGGAACAAAACUUUUGUUUGGGCACAAUAUGCAGGUCCGUGUAUCUCCUUUAUGAAAAAGAGACUAGAGAUCUUUGACUAAAUAUCUCUGAAGAAUGUCAAUGUAAAGCGAAUGCACGCAUAUAGAAAUAGACAGGUGCGCACAUAGACAGGUUGUUUUGAACAUUUGAAGUCAUAAAAUUCAUCAAGGGAGUCUUUACUAGACAGCUUCCAUUCUUACCCCUGAAUGCAGAACAACUAUCAUCAAGGGAGCAAACUUGGAGUCAUACUUCUUAGUAUAAUUUGUGGUUAUUGUGGGCUUUGCCUUGUAUGGAUCUGGGAUCGUGUCACUGACAUGUGGGCCACCACAUGUUGAUGGCAGAUUCAAGGGAUUUUCAAAAAUUGCAGUGCCAUGGGAGGAAUUACCUUAACCCAUUCUUUUUAACUUCUUCUAGGAGGCCCAUAUUAACAGUCAAAACAAGCACAUACCAUUUCUGCAAGAUGUCACUUGUGAAGUCUCCUUCGCUUCCACAUUCCGGGAGAUCGGGCUCAAACUGCCCAACUAGUGAUGUAGAGCCACAAAGAGUAGCCAUUGAAGAAAAUGCAGAAUCUCACGUUGUAAAUCCUACAGAAGGUCCCCAAGAACAUGGAGAAGGUAUUGUGCAAUCACUCUUGUAAACUCAGAUGAUUCUUUCUUCCUCGUUGACUUCAUCCUUGAUCCUAGGCCUUGGAGAUUUUGUAACCUAUACAUGUAUAGGCAAAGAUUUCCAAAUGGGCCAGACCCGUUGGGCGGCCCGAGGCCCGACACUAAAAAGCACGGCACGAGCACGGACCCGGCACGAAGUGAAUAGUGCCAGGGCUGGCCCGGCACGAUGAUAGUGCCGGGCCUGGGCCGCCUCCCCGGCACGCUGGGCCAGCACGAGCCCGGCACGAUUUUUUGGCCGGCCCGAUGCGGCCCGAUCUAUCUACCAUAUAAAUCUAGAACCCUAAUUUAUCCUUCAAUUUUCCCCAUUUCCCCAAGAUUCCAGCCUCCAGCUCCUCCCACCUUCCUAGCUUCCUCCCGAGACCUUCCUGCUUGCUCUGCGCGGGAGGCCAGCCGUCGCCGCCAGGGGCCGACGCGGGGGGCCGGCCGCCGCCGCCGCCGCUAGGGGCUGACGCGGGGGGCCGGCCGCCGCCGUCGCCGCCGCCGCCAGGGGCUGACGCGGGGGGCCGGCCGCUGCCGCCGUCCGCGGGGGACCGGCCGCCGCCGCCGCCACCAGGGGCUGAGGCGGGGGGCCGGCCGCCGCCGCCGCCGCCAGGGGCCGACGCGGUGGGCCGACCGCCGCCGCCGCCGCCGCCGGGGCCAACCGUCUGCGGAGCCGGCCGCCGCUGCUAGUGCCGGGCCGGGCGCUAGCACGGCAUGGCCCGUCGUGUUGUGGGCUGGCCCGGCCCGAUAAAAAGGUCGUCGGGCCGGGCCUGGGCUGCCUCCUCGGCACGCAGUGCCAGCCCAGCCCGGCACGAAAACCCUUCGGGCCUAAUAGUGCCGGGCCUAUUAGUGCCGAGCCAGGAUGGGUUAGUGCCGAGCUAGGGUCGGGCGGCCCAUUUGGAAAACUAUGUGUAUAGGCACGUGUGCCAGUUGAGCUAGUACUUUGAGAUGAGCACGCACUAUUCCUACAUGUCCUUGCAAAUCGGAGCUCUCAAAGUCCACACAUGGCAAGCUUUCCAAAAAAAAAGGUCCACAAAUGGCUCCUCCUCUAAAGCCAAUAACAGGCAAUAUACAACAUAUCGCUGUGGAACUUCAACUGUCCACGGCGGGUGUACGUUCCUUUGUGGAAUUCACGCUUGAUAUUGUGCAACGUACUCAGAAUUACCAAUUAAUAGUAGGCGAAUAUACGCGAUCAAGACUUUUACACCAUUCUCUCAUGAGAAAUUUGCAACAACUUGGUUGACGAAUGAACACGCCAUCAAGAUCGACCAUUGAAACCAUGCAUGGUGGUGGCUUCUGCCUAUAAAUUCCUGGUAAGGUUGAUGCUUUUGAAAGCACACACACAGACACAGUCGAGAACACAUCCACACAACUAGCUACCUACUACUCUACUAAGCUCGCAAUGGCCUCCUCCAAGUCCAUAGCCUCCCCUGCGCUGGUGUUCCUCGCCAUGGCUCUCAUGCUCGCGGCCUGUGCCCAGGCCUUGGCACCAGCACCAACACCAGCUCCGGCGCCGUCGCAAGGUUCAUGCCCUCCAGGCUUCAAAAGCUACCUCGACUUGACAGAUUUCAUUCGAGGUGCCGGUCGAAUGGCCAUCACCUUUGUCGACCCUGCUUUGGUGCCCGUGGUUCGGAGCACCCUGACCCUCAUCCCACACACGGGCCUCAAGCUAUGUGUGUGCUUCAAGUCGAAUGUCAUCUCCCUCCCCAUCCAAUGUCUGUCAUACUAAGCAUGGAACAACAAGCAUAUAUGUGUGCUGCUUGUUAGCUACAUAUAUUACUAUAUCGAUAUGCACGAAUAAGUUGUUGUUACCUGCAUGCAUGUGUUGCCUAUACCAUGCUGAUCGACUCUGAUCUGCAUGUGUUUAUGCGACAGUGAGGUAAACAAUAGUUGACCUGCUUAAUUAUGUAUCGUGUGACACGUUUGUGUCAUUGAUUGUAACUGCUAUGCUCAAAUACCAUAUAUAAAAAUACAUGAACGUAGCAUGCCCUACUACUACUACUACUAUUAUUAUUAAUAAUGUUGUUGUUGUUGUUGGCACUGCCAUUAAGUAUGCAUGCUAAUCAUAAAGUUCAUGAUAUGGUGGACUAGUGGAAUUUCAACAUUGUCUUUUAGCACUGUUGUUACCCAUCCUUUUGUAAGAAAUACAAGGACCUCCUAGGCGUGCGACAAAGGGCACAUUCAUGUGAGUGGUGGGUGUGCCAUGUGCGUGAAGGAUAGCGUAGUCGUGGCUCACAGGCAUGGAUGUGAGGGUGGUGCGGGGCCUACAGGGAGAAGAAUGGGACGGCGGUGGAGAAAGGAGGUGAGGAAGAAGAAAGAAGAGAAGGACGAGGGAAGAAGAAGAAAGAUCUGAGCAAUGGGGCUAGAGACCGAAAUAACAUUUUAUCGUCUUUCUCUCUCCUACUCAGCCUAACAAUAUAAUACUAUUUCAAUCGUUGGCUACCAUCAAAUUUUCACAAAACAAGAGUGUGUUCCAGCAUAGAGCGUGAUCAAUGAUAUCCUCUAGCCCAUCACCUUCACUUUGCAAUGUCUUGUAGUAAUUUAUACGGAGAUACCUCCAAAUCCAGAACGGAGGUUAACUGUGGGAGAUUGCAAGUUUUGUAAGUUGCAUGUUAUGGCUAGAUGUGUGGGUCAACUUGUACAUGCAUGUAUUUUUCUUAGGGUGGGCGCAUGCAUGUCUUGGAGGCAUGUGCACGAUGCAUGGCGUUUCUUGUUCAUAUUAUUUUUUAAGGGAAUUAUGGUAGGCAAAAUGUCAGUCUAAAUUUGUCCUUAAAGAUGUGGCAAACAACAAAUUCAUAGCAGAAAGGAACAACUCAACACAAUAAAGAGUACCACGGAUUUCAUCACGAGAGAAACACAACUCCCAUACAAACAUUGGAUCCAGGCAGGUCAAAAAACCAAAACUUGUACAAGCCGAAGAGCAAUCCACAAUUUUCCAUAGAUAUAGUGUAUGUCUAGAUGUAUAAUAAUAUCUAUGAAUCUAAAAAAUAAAAACAACUUACAAUUUUGAACGGAGGGAGUAGUACUUUGAGAUGGACACGCCGUACGCAGUAUUCCUAGCUACGACUUACUUUGCAAAUCUAUAAAUCUAUAAGCUCUCAAAGUCCACAUACAAAUGGCAAACUUCUUGGCACCUCUUAUAAAGCCAAGCUACAAUACAAGAGAACGAUGCUUUUGAGCUUCAACGUCCACAGCGGCCGUACGGGAAUUUACGCUUGAUAUAGAUGCACCAAAUUACAAUUAGUAUGGGCAAUAAUGUACUAUUUAUACUAUAUGUAUGAUGAAUAAGUUUGUUGUUUAACUGCAUCGGCAUGCACGUGAGAGGGGAUGCUCGCCCAGCACUGGAAACCAGCGCUGCUUCAGUUCGGAGUUCAGAUGUUGCAGAUCACAGUGGAUCGUUUUCCCUCACUUCAAGCAAUACAGAGCGCACACCACAGUUGGUCAGUUGCAGUGAUGCCUUCCAAACUUGAUGCAGAAUUAGACUGCAAGAUCACCACAAUCCACAAUGCCUGCACAUUAUAUACUUCUUCCUCGCACCUCUCCGAAAGAACAAAAGAACACCAACAAUCCUGGGCAGAACCAUUCAUAUACAAUCCAAGUUAUCAAUUCCCAACAAAACAAAACAAUUCAAAUUUCUGUUUCCCUAACAGUCAGUAUAAUAGAUACUACAGAAGCAGAAUGCAGUAAUUUUUUGUAAUAUGGCUGGCAAUUUUUCUCUAACAAUUUUCUACUGCAUAAACUUCUCUGGCUGCCGUAAAACGCAAAAAUGGUACAGGGAAUACAGUUUUUUUUUCACGGUCAGGAAAUACUGAAUAUUUGUCAUUAGCAGAGGAUUAUUGAUAGGCUUUACAGAGAUAAUCACCAAAGUCGGGCCGUCAUAGACUACAUUGCUGCCGGUAAUCUAGAACGGCAUGCAGGAAGCUAGUGAGAUAGUCAUGGUUUAGUCAUAGGCUAUCCUUUUUUUAUAGUAGCUAGGUAAGCCCACAUCAAGGAGCAUCACAACUCUGGAAUUGAAGAGCAGGCACUGCCUCUGCAAUGUUCAAACUUCGAACUCCACGGACAAGACAGAUAUGAGAGAAGCAUUUGAAAUUCAUGUAUUUAAAAGAAGCAAACUAAAAUACAAGUUACCGAUGCGCCUCCCCUUUCUUCAAUUUAAUCUCCUUGUUGAGAUCUGGUAUUUCUUCUCAUCCCUUUCUUUUCCUCCUAGAGCAUUCACUAACAGAGUAUAAAGAUACGGUUUUGGAGCCUGAGAAAUUGUUUGUAGAGAUAAACAUUUGAAGAAAGUGUAUCUCCAGGAUUGUCCCAUAGCAAUUGUGGCCGCAAGUACCAAAAAUACCUCUGAAGAAGUUCUCUUCUAUUUCUAGGCAGAAAGUGAUAAGCUAGGUGUUGCCUCUCAUUGAUGAAGCUCUUGACAGGUUCUGAGAGCACAUGAACUGGGACGGAGCCUGGAAGCUGGUCCAAUCCUUUCUUCAGCUCAAUACAGAUGCUAGUAAAUGUCGGGAUGAGCUCAAUAUCACAGGUGACACACAACCAAUAAAUUGUCCACGAGAAAUAUCAGGGAUCACUGGUGUCUAUACAUGUUCUGCACACUGAAAAAUUAUCCGAGUAACUGCUAAUGAGCAGCACCAUAAAUAUCAGGGAUCGGGGAUGUUCAGAAUUAUUGAACUCAUGUUGCAUUCCGACAAUGGAUGGGGAUUGCAGAAUAAUGAAAGAUGGAUUGCCGCUUACUAUGGAGGCCAUGGUCUUGUCCCCUUUGGCACUCUAACGACACUACAUUUCAGCAGAGAAGCCUUUUGUCAUGCUCAAUCUUCAUGCUCUUCUUUGGCCUUCAUACUCUAAUUACGGUAGGCAAAAUGUCAAUCUAAAUUUGUCAUUAAAGAUGUGGCAAAUAACGGAUUACAUAGCAGAAAGGAACAACUCGACAUAACAAAGAAUACCACGGAUUUCAUCACGAGAGAAACACAACUCCCAUACAAACACGUAUAUUUUCUUUUAUUCCUAAUCUGUGUUGAUUUUCUAGCCUAUACAUGUUAGCUGGGCCAAACUCGGCACGAACAUUCUUUUUAAGAUCAGCGAAAGAAAAUGAGAUGAGACGGAGAAGUAUGCGAUCUCCUUUCCUUUCGGUCACUGCAACACGAUGGUAUCCAAGAUCGUCAUGCCAUCGACCGCCCCACCCCUCUGCUGCUGCUGCUGAGCUUGUUCCCGCCGCUGCGACGUCAGCGGGAACUCCUUGGCGACUGCCGCCAGCAUCUCGCGUCUCGUCGCCGCGGCGUCGCCGGAGGAGGAGGCGGAGGUGUCGCGGCCGUGGAGCCGGACUCCUCGUGCAACCCGUGUGUGGAUCGGCCGGAAGACCCUCGUGCGGGUCGAUCGCUGGCUGAGUCAUGUCUCCUUGUGGAUUUACUGAAGCACGCACUACUUAGAGACAAUCCGCCACCCCCGCCGGACAUUGGAGAGGCCGCGGCAGCGACCGAUGGCGUCGGGGGUGGUGCCGUUGAGGCGGUUGAGUGUGAGGAUGAGAACCUGGAGGUUGCCGAGCCGAAAGAAGGUGCUGGGGAUGCUCCCCUCGAGGGCGUGGGAGUGGAGGUUGAGACCUGUAGAGGCCGAGCCCGGCGGACAGCACGCGGAGCGCGGGGAGCCCAACGAGCCACCCGGGGAGCGCGCCGGUGGUGUUGUUGCCCGAAAUCUGGAGCUCCUGGAUCGCCCUGAAGCCCCUGAGCUCGUCGCGUCAGGGCUCGUCUCCUGUUUGCCAUUCUCUUUGGCCCAUGGACUUUUUGUUCUGUUACAGAACUGGGUAAACACAGGGAUGGAUCCAGCCCAUGAUUAAGUCGCAGCCUGCUACUAGGUGGACCUUUGCAGCUCCAGGAAAAAGUCCCAAUUUGCACUGAAAGUCCAGUGGUGGCACGGGCUGCCACUGGGCCUAUGCUGGGUCCGCCCCUAGGUAACCACAUGGGUUGGCUUUGCUGGUGAAAUUGAUGGCAAGAUUGAGCUCCAUAAAGCAUCGUGACUUGGGUGUAGGGGUAGAACGAAGAGAGCCUAGUGGAGGCAUAGGUUACAGAUUUUAGAUUCAAAUGAACUUUGAUCUUAUUUCAUGAAACUACAAAGUUACAUGCAAUAGUAUGCUCUCGCUCAACAUUUGGAUUGCAUUAGCCCUCCCCUCAAUGAUAAGCAUGAACAACACUGUUUAUGUUAUCGUGAUGGACAACUGCUGCCACGAGAGGUGGCUAAUAAGCACAGCACAGAGCACGCCACACUCUUUAAAUUCAGAAUUGAGACUAAUACAAACCAUGAAAUAUAAACGCAGGAAGUUUAUUUGCAUCGUUUAUUGUUCUUCAAAUUUCAUGAUACGUGUAUGCUAAUUAGCUUUCGUAUUAUGUCAUAAUCUAAUCCUUUGUGCAAUAUAUAGAAUAUUAGUAGAAAUUGAGGGAAACAUGGAGCAUAAAAGAGUAUAUGGAUCUUCUUAAAGUCUAUUUCAAUGUAUCGAGCUUGUUGCCUUUCAAGUAAAAAGAAUCAACUGGCGUCGUCACAGUAAGUCGAGCCUUGUGAGAGAUUUGAAGUUCAAAUAUAUCACACCCGCUUUUAAAAUAAAAUCAAGUACUACCCAUAUGUAUGUCAGGAUCUAAUUUCAUACAUAUAGUGAUAUUAUUAGUGAAUAACAAUAAUAAUAUCACGUAAAGAGAUAAAUAAAGACUUACGAGUCUAACAGAGAUACACAGCUUAAACCUUGGAAACGGAGGCUCCAAACUUCACAAGCAAACAACUGGGGGUUACGUACACCUAAAACUCAGCAUCAUCUUCACAACUUCACACCUUCAUCUUCUAAGCAGCAGUAAGCAACGGUGAGUACACUUAUAGCUGGUACUCAGGCCACGCGAAAUAACCAGAAUAACGAUUUAAGUCCAUCUUCAAGUUUAAUUAAUCAUGUGAGGAUCCAAACCGCUCUUAACCGUGAGCACAGCUAAUAUACUAGUUUACACUCUACAGAGGUUGUACACUUUUACCCACAAGUCAUGUAAAAGUUCAAAAAAAUUUGGACCCAACCAUGCGGUGCUAGCUAGGCACCAUACCACACUUUCAAGAUGUGAUUGCAUAGGGACGUUACGAGGCCUUGACAAAAAUUCCCUAGUAAGUGGUAACCCGCUGAGGUUUUCGGAGCGCUAGUAAAGCAUAAAAUCUCCCUAGUAGGUAUAGUGUUUUAGCAAAGCCCACUUCCCAAAAGGACUGGGUUAUACCCCAUCUGCCGCCGCCCCUCUUGCUCUUUCGGUAAGAUUACCCCAGACUAGAGUCUCUAAUUAAUUAGCCAAGAUCAGAGCGAUGAUUGUUCUUGUGGUUGUACUGUUUUCCCGGGUGGUUCUCCAUAUUCCAAUUAACAUUAUCAUGAUAUUAUGAACAAAGCAUAGGUAGAAAGAUGGUUAGGGAUACUUGCCUUUCUCCAACAAAAAGUUACUCUUACUUCCGAGCAUCGAUCCUUCUACUUGAAGCAAGCACCAGUACAAACAUACAAGCAAACAAACGAGUACAACUAAGAACAAUACACAAAAAUAAAAGAAAAGCUUUAACAGAACGUACUAAAGGAUAGGGCUCGAUCUAAGGAUCACGCAAACGCAGAAACGCUAAGAACGGAACUAUGGUUUAAAAUAUAAAGCUAUCGAGAGAUUUGGAGUAUAAAAGAAAAGACAAGAGCUACUUGCUACAUUUAUUUUAGUUGAGAAAAUAAUUUAAAGAUCUUUAAGAGAAAUACCCUUAAUUGGAAUUAAUCUAGUCAUAUUUAUAUUUACAUAAGAAAAGAUGUAAAGCUUAGUCCAAUUUUAUUUAUAAAUAUUUAAGUACAAUUUAUGUAAAUUAAUAUUUGAGUUUAUAAGAAGCAUGUAAAAGCAUCUAAGCAUAUAACUUUAUAUUUCGAGUUCAACUAAGCAGAUUAGUCUCUAACCCUAAUUAAAAUUUAUGCAUGUACAAGGUCCAGGGGGGAGGGGGAAGUGGAGGCGGCAGGCGGUGCCAUCAAUGGCAACCGGUGGUGGGGCGACGGUUUCCGGUGGAAGAGAGGGGAAACGACGGGGCAGCGGCUUGCGCGUGUGAGGCGGAGGGUCGCGUGGAGCUGAGGGGGCGAGCGGGGAGUGCAAGUGGCACCGGGAGGGAGAGACAUAGCGGCGCGGUAGAGACCGAACGGCAGUGGCCGGUCGGAGGUAGAAGGAGCUCCUGACAGGUGGGGCCACCUGUCAGUGAGGGGGAAGGGAGGGAGAUGGGCCGAGGAGGUCGGCCUGCUGGGCCAAACGGAGCGGGUCGGGAGCACAGGUGCGACUCGGCCCAAAAAGGAAAAGGAUUUUCUUUUUUUUCAGUAGUAAUUCUCGUGAAAGAAAAUCUAGAGAAAAUCCAGAUAUAACUCAAUUAAUUCAUGGAAAAAAAUGCUCUAAAAAUCCCAAAAAUUUCAUAAAAUUUCCUAUAGACAAUUUGGGACACGAGAAAUCCAAAUAAAAUACUUGGAACUCGUGAAAAGGAUUUUAGAGCCUUCCAAAAAUUGGAUUUAGGUCUUAGAAAAUGAAAAUAAAUUCCAGGAAAACUAGAAAAUUCUCAAAAGGGUCUAGACAACGUCUAAACACACUUUUGAAACUUUUUUCACUCAUAAAACACCAAGAUGCAUUGGCAUGAAUGCAUAGACACAGAACAAUCUUAUUUAAUUUCGAAAAACAAAUAAUUAUUUUUUCUACACUAAAUUUCCUGGGAAGAAAAUAAGUGUUGAGAAAAAUUUUAAAAUUAUAGGAAAUUAUUGUUUAAUUAUUCCUUUUUAAUGAUAUCCUGAAAUUCGAAAAUUUUAGGGUAUGACAACAUACUUAUGAGUUAUUUAUAAUUCUUGAAAGGAAUCAUUUGAUGUAGAAUAUGAUGUACAGAUGUAGCAUGAUCACAAGCAAAAACAUUUAGGAUAAUAAAAAUGUGAUAAUAUGUGAUCUAUUAAAAAAUUAGUUGCAAAAAGCCACAUGACAUUCCUCUGUUUUGUACAGAUCACACAAAUGAUCCCUUUUAAUGUUGCAAUUGAACAUGUUUCAUUUAUUAGCACAUAUAUACUAGACUUAGGUUUUCAUUUUUUUAACAUUUUUUAAGAACCCACGUGCAUGCAAACUACAAACGGGUGUAGGGGCACGUAGGCCGGGAGAGGUAUAUCGCUCGGAGCUGGAUCAUUGCAAGUUUUGUACUCCCCUCCGUUUCAAAUUGGAGGUCGUUUUGAUUUUUCUACAUUUAUAGAUAUUUUUCUACAUUCAUAUAUAUUAUUAUGCAUCUACACGCUAUAUCUAGAUGGAUAGAAAAAAAUUAUACACCUAGAAAAGUUAAAACAAUCUGCAAUUUAGUAAGAAGAGAGUACGUUGCAUUAUAUGCCGAGAUGAUGGCGAGAUGCGUGGGUCAAUUUGUAUACGCAAACUCAUGCAUAUACGUCGAUCUUUUUCUUCAGGCGCGCACUCUUCAAGGCGUGGAAAUUAAGCUGCAUGCAUGGCUCUUCUCGUUCGUAUAAAGAAUGGAUAAGCAACAACGUGCCUGCAUGCUGACUCUGGUAUAUCGUAUAUAUUCCUCAUCCUUGAUCCUAGGCCUUGGAGAUUUUGUAACCUAUACAUGUAUAGGCACGUGUGCCAGUUGAGCUAGUACUUUGAGAUGAGCACGCACUAUUCCUACAUGUCCUUGCAAAUCGGAGCUCUCAAAGUCCACAGAUGGCAAGCUUUUUGUUUUUUUAAUAAAAAGUCCAAAUCCGAGCUCUCAAAGCCAAUAACAAGCAAUAUACAACAUGGCUACCCCGUGCAACCUUGAGAAUUAUGAAUCAAGAUCACAAGAUGCUAAUCCAAUGGAUAGGGUCAGACUUGGUAUUAUUUUGCACUUAAGCGCCCCCCUCCCCCCCAAACACACACACGCCGACCACCUCCAUAGGAUGGGGGGCUUAAGUGCAAAAUAAUGUCAUCUCUGACCCUAUCCAUUGGAUUAGCAUCUUGUGGCCUAGCUCGAUUCAUAGUUUCCAAGAUUGCAUGGGGUAGAUAGUUUCCAGCAUUGUUGUGGAACUUCAACUGUCCACGGCGGGUGUACGUUCCUUUGUGGAAUUCACGCUUGAUAUUGUGCAAUGUACUCAGAAUUACCAAUUAAUAGUUGGUGACUAAUACGCGAUCAAGAUUUUUACACCAUUCUCUCAUCAAGAUCGACCAUUGAAACCAUGCAGCAAGGUGGUGGCUUCCGCCUAUAAAUUCCUGGUAAGGUUGAUGCUUUUGAAAGCACACACACAACUAGCUACUACUCUACUAAGGUCGCAAUGGCCUCCUCCAAGUCCAUAGCAUCCCCUGCGCUGGUGUUCCUCGCCAUGAUGGCUCUCAUGCUCGCGGCCUGUGCCCAGGCCUUGGCACCAGCACCAACACCAGCUCCGGCGCCGUCGUCGCAAGGUUCAUGCCCUCCAGGCUUCAAAAGCUACCUCGACAUGACAGAUUUCAUGCGAGGUGCCGGUCGAGUGGCCGUCACCUUUGUCAACCCUAAUUUGAUGCCCGUGGUUCAGAGCAUCCUGACCCUCAUCCCACACACGGGCCUCAAGCUAUGUGUGUGCUUCAAUUCGAGUCAUGCCAUCUCCCUCCCCAUCCAAUGUGUGUCAUCCUAAGCAUGGAACAACAAGCAUAUGUGUGUGCUGCUUAUUAGCUACAUAUAUUACUAUAUCGAUAUGCACGAAUAAGUUGUUGUUACCUGCAUGCAUGUGUUGCCUAUACCAUGCUGAUCGACUCUGAUCUGCAUGUGUUUAUGCGACAAUGAGGUAAACAAUAGUUGACCUGCUUAAUUAUCUAUCGUGUGACACGUUUGUGUCAUUGAUUAUAUAACUGCUAUGCUCAAAUACCAUAUAUAAAAAUACACGAAGCAUGCUACAUGCAUGCCCUAUUAUUAUUAUUUUUGUUGUUAUCAUUGUUGUUGGCACUGUCAUUACGUAUGCAUGCUAAUCAUAAAGUUUCAUGAUAUGGUGGACUAGUGGAAUUUCGACACUGUCAUUUAACUGUGGGAGAUUGCAAGUUUUGUAAGUUGCAUGUUAAGGCUAGAUGGCUGGGUCAACUUGUGCAUGCAUGUAUUUUUCUUAGGGUGAGCGCAUACAUGUCUUGGAGACAUGUGCAUGGUGCAUAGUCGUUUCUUGUUCAUAUUAUUUUUCAAGGGUACUACAGUAGGUAAAAUGUCAAUCUAAAUUUGUCAUUAAAGAUGUGGAAAACAAUGGAUUACAUAGUACAAAACAACUCGACACGAACACUCGUUUUAAGAUCAGCGAAAGAAAAUGAGACGAGACGGAGAAGUAUGCGAUCUCCUUUCCUUUCGGUCACUGCAAGACGAUGGUCUCCAAGAUCAUCAUGACAUGGACCGCCCCACCCCUCUGCUGCUGCUGCUGAGCUUGUUCCCGCCGCUGCGACGUCAGCGUGAACUCCUUGGCGACUGCCGCCAGCAUCGCGCGUCUCGUCGCCGCGGCGUCGCCUGAGGAGGAGGCGGAGGUGGCGCCGCCCCUCGAGGCCGGUGACGACGACGCGGCCGUGGUGCCGUCCAGGGUGCCGUCGAACGGCGCCUCGCAGAAGGCCAUCAUGGGCACGAGUCUCUUCUCCACCGACGCCGCCAUUGGGAGAGGGUUCGGUUUCGAUGCGCUUGGUUUAGCUCGAGGGAUCGUCUCAACCGCAGGCGGGGUUUAUAUGAUCGAGGCGCCCGUGGGUUGCCGACUCGUUCCCGGCUCGGAAGCCGAGAUCGUGCUGGGAUGGAAGACAUAGGGGUUCUGGGAAUUGGAGCCGGACUCCUCGUGCAACCCGUGUGUGGAUCGGCCGGAAGACCCUCGUGCGGGUCGAUCGCUGGCUGAGUCAUGUCUCCGGCGACGGGGGCCAGUGGCGUCGGGGGUGGUGCCGUUGAGAUGGUUGAGUGUGAGGAUGAGAACCUGGAGGUUGCCGAGCCGAAAGAAGGUGCUGGGGAUGCUCCCCUCGAGGGCGUUGGAGUGGAGGUUGAGCACCUGUAGCUCCGAUAAGAGGCCGAGCCCGGCGGACAGCACGCGGAGCGCGGGGAGCCCAGCGAGCCACCCGGGGAGCGCGCCGGUGAGGUUGUUGCCCGAAAUCUGGAGCUAGCUCCUGGAUCGCCCUGAGGCCCCUGAGCUCGUCGCGUCGGGGAUGGCGCCGGAGAGCGCGCUGUUGGAGAGGUUGAGGAACCGGAGGCUCGACGCCCCCGCGAGGGCCGCGGUGACGGCGCUGGUGAGCGCGUUCAUGGAGAGGUCGAGGAACUCGAGGCCGGGGACCGCGCCGAGCGACCACGGGACGCCGCCGCGGAGCGAGUUCGCGGAGGGGUCGGGGCGCGCGAGGGCCGGGAGCGCGCCGGCGGCGGAGAACUCCCCCGGAGUCCCCGGUGCGGCAGCUCGAUCGUGGUGGCCGCGCCGGCGCCGCCAGCGGAGUAGGUGACGCCGCGCCUGGGCCCGACCCCGCCGGCGCCUAGUCCCGCCGCAGCGCCUGCAUUGCUGCGACAUCCCCUCGCGCCGGUCGAACUUGAGCUGGAGCUCCAUCGGCAUGUCCCAGUGCCCCUGUCCCUGCUGAACACCGCUACCGUCCUCGAGCACUAGGAUCCUAGGCAACGCUGUCGCCGGCGGCCACCCACGGGGCGAAGGUAUAGUGGAACGGCGUCGCUAAUCUUGUUGAAGGGCCGCCGGGCACCUCGCUUAGGCCCGGUGCGACUCUGCUCCGAUUAGCCUGCCAAGCAGAGCAGGGGCUCUCACCGUUCGUUCCCAGCGCCGGCAAGGGGCUCUCGGGCCAGCCGCUCCAACCCACUGGAGAUGAUUAUAGAUAUGCUUUAUACAGAGAAUCACCAAAGUCGGGCCGUCAUAGACACUACACUGCUGCCGGUAAUCUAGAACUAGAGCACAUGCAGGAAGCCAGUGAGAUAGUUAUGCUUUAGGCUAAAAUGUGCAAGUUGUUGAGGAUUUUCUCCAAUGACACUGACACAAGUGGUUAGUCUGUACCAUGGAUUAUACCUGAGCAUGGUCGCAUCAGUGCCCAUGCCUCCUCUUCCCUUCCAAUCAAUGGACUCCCAUCUCCUCCCAAGUGCUGAUAGCAAGUUCAGCAGCCGUCGAACGGGGAGCCCAGGGACUAUUGGUGCAAUUUCAUCUUCCCAAUCUUCUCAAGUCCAGGCAGCGUUGUCUGGGCCAAACCCAAUCCGCACCUGCUUUCCUCAUAGGACGGCCCACGGGUAAUCCGGUCUCGGCUGACGGAUUUUGUUUCUUCAACGGGCCCAACAACGGCUUCUUCCUUCAUUUUUCAGACCACUGUUGCCAGUCACCAACCACCUCUGAAUGAAGAAAUCCCCCGCAGAAGAAACCACGAGUCAAACUAUUGUUUUUCACUCACUUGCGCUGGACUUGGCUUCCAUUCAAACCAAAUGGAUAUCAGUAUCAUCAUGUCGGAUCUAGCAGCUGGCGUCAAACAAAAUCUCACGAACUGCGGAGAGCACAAGAGUGACAGAUCCAUAAUCCAUUUACUGUCAGACGCAGACGAGACCGAGAACAACGACCAGAUCACAUUAUCCUCUCCGGUUCCAUUCAGUCUUCAGCUGCCGGGGGAGCCAAAAUAAAAUAUUGGAGUAGGUGAGGCAUGGAAGUAGCGGUUCAACAUCUUCUAUUCACUACUAUAAUUCAGCAACAGUUGAGACUUCAGACAAGAAAAAAUGCAGUAGGCGAGCACGAAACGUAGCCACGAGCAUCUCGUCAGAUGACAGGGACAGGGACACCACGGCGUCGAGGUGCGUUGCUCCGGAAGAGAUCGGAAAUAGGGGCCAGGAAUUCUCGACCGUGACCGUGCUGGUUGCUUUCCUUCAUCCAAGUGGGCCGCGUCUUUGGAUGGAGCACGUAUGCGGCGUUUAGUUUGUUCAUUUUUUUUCUUCUCAUCAUAAAAAAUGGGAUCUCUCCCAACUUGUGGGCACAAAAGGAGCUUUUCUACAAACAAAGAGCAAAAAUAGAAAUUUAACUUGACAUCAACCGCAAAACUUUCCAUCCGGGUUCUCUUUUUUUCUCUCUCGAAACACAGUGCGGAUGUAGAGACUCGUGUACAUGCACGAACGCUCUUGUUGCUAACCUAGCAUGCCACACGAAUGCGCCUGUAAUUCCUGUGAGCUUUGUUCUAUCGAUGCUGCAGAGUGUUCUGAUCUUAAAAUGCAAAGGAAAUGCUGUUGAACCCCCCUUAAAAAAAACAAGAAGAAGAUGGGGGUCUCAUUUUCAAACAUGGCGUAAGGCACUUAGGGACAGUCGAAGUUAUCGGUCAAAUUGCAAGCCGCAUCCUGUUCGUUCGAGGACGUCAGAGCCGAAACGGAAUUCGAUUUCCUGCUCGCAAAAUUCCGGUCAGUCGAUGUGCAUGCGAGUUCACACUUUCCACAGUUUCCUCCUUAUCUUCGUCAUGAUCCCAAAGUUCCAUGGAAAAAAAUUCAGACGAAGCCUACCCAAAUUCUAUUUGCUCGCUUCAGCAAUGACAGCAAAUUCUGAAAAAAAAAUCAGAAGAAAAAAAAAUUGCUGCGGACUCUAGCGGAUCACAUCUCAACUACUCCUAGAAAGCAUAUAGGAUAAUGCAGUUGCUGAGGUUCUUUCAAAAACUAACAAUAAUCCCGUGUCAAGUACUUAAAGCAUCGUUGACGAAACAAUAAUGCAUUAGUAGCACAUUUCGAACGAUUUGAAUGUAUAAUGCUGCGCAGAAAAUCCUGAGUUUCUGCGUGCGGAUUCUUUUAUUCCAAGUGAGCAUUCACAUGACCACAUUUUGUGAUAGCACGAGAGGAUGCAGGCAUGUUUUCUAUACUCUUCUUCUUCUAAACGUGUCGCAUUUCUGCUUUGAAUUCAGCUGCAAUUGGCCGGAUGCAUGGGUUGCAGUCAGACUGACUCACCAGUCUUCAUCAUCCAGCCCAUCAUUUUACUUCCCUGAAUUCAACACUGCUACCAACCACCUCUCAAACGACUGCACACGUGCCAUUGCAAAUUUCCAAGUGUUCGAGAUGCAACCUGCGAAGCUUCACUAGUCCAACCUUUUCUCACAACUCGUGUUAAAUUAGCGUCGAAAAGUCUGCGAUUAGGAAGCCAGCCUAUCAGAAAACGGUCAAACUUAAUCCCAACAGUCUUAGGCGAUCGAGUCCAAGACAUGCAGCAGACAUGCUGUUGCUGCAGCGAUGUCGCAUACGAGCGUCUCAACAACUGAAAGCUCGCUGCUCUUUUUCGACGAACUGCGAUCGAAAGUCGCCGGUCCAUGGCGUCUCAACAACUGCUGAUGAUUCGGGUGACCGGGAGCAGGGUCCAGGUUCAGACACACUCGUGUCAGACUUUUCUGAAGUCGCACCAGUUCAGCAAAAACUGCUCACCAACCGUCUCGCCCUGUCCUCUGUCCGGAAACGUACUGAUCUUUCUGGCCCAGGUUGAGUUUGGGUCAUCUCCGUCUGUUGAAUUUGGACCGGAUGCUUAACUUUGUCAACGACCGGAUAGUGCAGUUUGAAAGUUUGGAUCGAAACAAAAGAAGGGCAAUUUUGAUUUGUCUGGCGAAGGAGCUGAAACGCAUCGGUUCCUGCAGCUUGGCUGUCUGAGCUUUGUAUCUUAGAUUCCAGAGCGACAGGCAUGUGGUUACAGUUCCUGCCUGAUCAAUCAGUUCAUAAACUAAUCGCGAUGAUGUGCUGCCAAUGGUUACUCUGCAUUUGGUACGCAGAAUACUGUUACAGCUGCCGGCAUGAACAUGACUUGAAAAGUUAAAGAGUUUCUUGACCAGUCACAGUCUAUUGCGGUCUUGAUGACUUGAUGUUACAUUUGCACUUUAGGUAUGGACAACCUUCAUUCUUUCACUUUGACCUUGUGCCUGAGUCCUAAGCUUAGACCAGACCAGGAGAGCUGAUCUGUUCUUGUUCUAGGUUCAGCCCAUUUAUAAUUUUAUCUGCUCACAUUUUUUUGGAGAACACUCAGGAGCUCUGCAUUAUAACAUUAAGGAGAAACUUUUCUAUCUGAUGAAACUUAACAUAGGCCUCGAUGACCUGCAAACUGCAUCAUGUCGAGCUGCUUCUGACCAUGCGACAUCUGAGGAAACUCUGACCAUGCAACAUCUGAGGAAUUUCUGACCAUGGAAUGAAUAUUUGAGGAAAUUCUUUAUUUUAGACGAACCUCUUUUAUUUUUAGACGAACAUUUGGGGAAAUUCAGACCAUGCACCGUCAGUAGUGCAAGUCUGCAAUUUGAUGGCAGCAAGCACAUUAGCACAAUUGCACCGAACCAUUCCUUUUACGGGCAUGCCUAUCAUAGAAAUGUUACAAAGAAUUCAGAUGUCCGAAGAACACAACUGCAUGAAGAGUUUCUCUUCGUGAAGAAAAGCACCAGAAGAUUAUCCACCGAUCAAAGCAUGAAAGGUAUAGCUCCCAGUAUAGGAUGCUGUUGCCACUGAUUGCUGAAAGAGAUAGGGAAUAUCUUAGAUUUCGUAUUUGUGUUGAGUUGUUUUGAACUGAACCACUGUUUCCCCCUGAUCCUCCUCCCGUAUGCACUUUAACCAAGUCCCAUCAUGCCUUUUCUGACCUUUUCUUCUGUUGGGAGAUGCACAUACACAAGAAGGAAAUGCCAUUGCAUUGUAUCUUCUCAUGUUUGCAGCUCAUGAGAAGGUAAACUGCCACAGUAAUUCAAACGAAAUCUCGUGAUACCUAUUAAUUGAAAACGAAAAAGAUUAUCGCCCAUCGCUACUUUACUCGAAUGGGGAAAAGAAAAACUUUACCAUCGCCUAGCUUUAAUUUGUCCCCUCCCACACUCUUUGCAUCACCACAGGCGAAGUAAAGGAGACACAUGAUCACACUUCUGAAUCAUCGACCUGCGCAGAAAGUGUAAACUUAUUCGAUCAGCGUCAACGGUGCAGCCAAUCCUUGUGAUAGUGGUCGACAGAAAAAUAUAAUCUCCGACGAACUGAAUCGAAUAGCACCCCAACAUCGCGAGCAUUACAGCGACAUGAUGAGCCGGCGAUCUAACAGCCGAUGGACACCAGUAUAACUGUCGCGAAGAGCAAAGAAAGUUCUUUCAGGUAGUCAGCCAUCCCUCACUCGAAGUCUUUCAGCAGGGCUUUACCCCAGAUAGAUGCUGAAAGACACAUCGAAUAUGAGCACAACAUCUGUGCAGCCGCGUUGGGGUUCGGCACUGAGCCACUAGCAGCAGCUCACAAGUCACAACGGACACACAGCAAGCAGCUGGGGGACUGGAAGGAAAUGCUUUGGGUUUCUUGGCUGGGAGCUUGACAUGUUUUGUGCUUUGCCCGGGCACGAUCAGGACUGGGUUUGGCAGGUGUUGGAUCUGGAAUCUCGCAGCGCGCAAAUGGGCAACUGGAAUCAUGGAUGAGGAUUGAGGGAGGGAGAUGGACGCCGAAAGGUCACCUGGCCCCUACGCCCCCCUACGCCCCCUAUCUCUAUCCUCCUCAGGCCUCACUACCCUGCAGCCUGUGCCAACCAUCUUCUUGGAGGAGCUAGAUCUGGGGUGAUCCCCUCCUCGGCUGGGAACACACCACAUGCUCCUCAAGCGGCUGCAUCGGAACCUGAUCGGGAAACGAACGGCCGAGAUCGCGCGCAGGUUGCGUUGAGAUUCUCAAGUUUCAGUGGAGCACACCAGACGAUGCUCUGGUGGUCAUGUACACACAAGAUGGAUAGAAUUGCACGUGAAACUGUGGCGUGUAAAAAGGAAAAGAUGGCAGAGGACAGCAACCCUUGUGGCCACAACGGUAGCACGAACGCACAAUGUGCCAAGCCAAUUUGCGCUCCGGAUCCAACGAUGACAUAUACUGUGCUUGAAACGCAAGCUUCCUCCCGGUGCGGAGACAGGUGUUCGCCCGGAGUCCCCGAACGCCGCGCCGCGCCGGCGCUAUCGCCGGCGGCGACACGCAACAGGUCAUAGUUUAACCGGCGCCCGGGCGGCGCCACCCGGAGGCCGCUGUCACCUACCCCGAUGGAUCCCGGUCGCGCUCCAGAAGGAACAAAACCAACAGCAACAGGUCGUCCAACCAAAAAUUAAUGAGCGAGCUCGUCCCACCAACCAAUGGCGAGGCUGACAUGCACGGGGAGCAGAUGCAGAGCGAGCGACGCGGCGGCAACAGGUAGCGCACCCCCCCCCCCCCCCCCCCCUCUCAAAGAGCUGCGUUGAAAUCCGCGUCACGUCCGAAUAUCUUGGGGGAUUAUCCGGAGGUUCCGACGCCUCGCGGCCGCUUCACCUGCGCGGACGCCGGAGAAAGCAACGAGAGAGGCGGGGGGCAAGAGGAAGAUGCCCGGUAGGAUACAAGAAAGCGGCCCGGCAACGACGGGGACGGCGAGCGAGGCCGCCGACUAGCCGUUCCUUUCCCGGCUACACGUCUCCGAUGAUACUUGGGCUCCAAGACGACGUCGUCUCCGUCGCCGCCGUGCCCGUCUUGCUCGUGGCCAAGCGGAAUCUUGGAAAGCACCUUUCGUUUUUUUUUCCCUGCCUAAAGAAAGCAGCAGGCAGGACAAAUGGAACCACCGCUCGAGGUUUCCAGUAGAACGCUGAUAACAUUUUCAAAGAAAAAGAGGGAGCAAGAAACAUAGCAACAGACAAGAUUUUGGGAACUUCUUUUUUAUCUGAAUUACGGUCCUUCCGGUCUGAAGGAGGAAACAAACAACAAUGGACAUCCCAUUCACACGGGGAUGAAUACUCGAAAAAUGAAACUAGAUAGCAGUUGCAGAGAAACUUGAAGAGUUCCUUCUUAUUUUUCCCAAGAAAAAAAGGCGAACAGUGGACAACUGACGCAUCCGGAAUAAAAACGUGGCGCCAAGAACUCCGGCGACGACGAGACACCCGACGACUACGACCAUGACACGAUACAACACCGGGCGGAGGGUUAGGUUACCAACGCCGGCGACUGACAAACUUGCUGGCGACUUGUUUCACCAGGGACGGUACAGGGGAGCUUCUGCUGCUUCUUCAUCGUCAGACGGUG
rnacentral:lncRNA from 1 species